GGAGGUUUCCAUGGAUAAUAAUGGGGACUAACAUUGUUAAGAUCUUGCAUCACUUUUAAUGUGUAUAACAGCUGGUCACCAGGUAGCUAUUGCUAUAAUUUCCAUCUUACAGAUGAGGAUGGCAAGGUGCUGAGAGCUUUCGGGAAGUGCACCAUUGGUGGUGGCACCCUUGCCCUCAAAGGGUCACCCAGGGCCGCUCCUGCUGUGUUUUCACCUGUCCUGCUCAGAGUUCUGCUUGAGCUUCAAACAGCAAGAGGACAGGAGUUUGCUCUCAGGGGAGAAUCUGCAUGGGGUAGUUGGCAGCAAACCUUCCAAAGGAGAAAUCCCCUCUACACUCUGCACAGCUGUGAACAGUCUGCAGGUAAUGAGGUGGCCGGAAAUGAACUCAGGACCCGGUCGCACUUCCAUCAGGGAAGACGGCAGGCUUUCAGCGGCCAAGUCUCGCCACACCUUGCCCCCCAGCCUCCCAUUUAAGGAGACGCUUUGAACUUUCACUACCACCUUGCUGUAGAAGGCUCAUGUUUUUGGCCUUAUUAGAAGCACUGCUUGAGCAGAGACGUUCUCUACAGGAUGCAGCAGUGCAGGUGACGACUGGGCUCUGCCUCAGGAGCUCUUGGGUGAAGCAUCUCGAGAGAAAGACGGGGUUCUCUGAUAUUUGAUGACUUUAAGUACAGGAGAAUGAAGGGG
rnacentral:lncRNA from 1 species